AAUCAAGCAGUCUUGUUCCACGAUGAGCUCUGCUAAAUACGAAUGUUCAAUCCUUUUUUCGUCCUAUGAAAUAGAUGUCCUUGGGUGGGUUGAUGAUAGAUCAACUAAGUUUAUUCGUGGGCAGUAUGGGCCUGAGAAAUACUUGCCCAGAAGCUAUUUUUGGCCCUUUGUAUUUUUUUUGUAAAAAUCUUAAAACGCUGAAACAGCUCAAGUGUCGAACCCGAUUAGUAACCGGCGGUUCUAAUAGAGCUACAUAAGAAUGUGCCGUGUGAUGAUAAGGUUGUAGCUCACCAAAGAGAAGAGGUAUCUCUCCGUACAAAUCACAAGCAAAGACAAAUCAGACCCUACUGCCACCGGUUCAUCAAUUCAUCACACAAUCGCUCGAAACUCCAUCCACCAAUUACUUCCUCAGGCGCAUUGUCACGUGAAUAUCUCCCUCUUCAACUCCAUUUCUCACUUGCUUCUCGCUUAUUCGUUGGUUUGGUAAAUUGAAUGUGGUUUAACCACAUGAUCAUAUUAAUUUAUAUUAGUAUUGUAGUUCUAUGUCCAUAUAUAAUUCAAAUUUGGUAAAAUACACGUUAACAGAAAAUAAAACAUCUAUAAGUUUUUAAAUCACGAUUGGACUCAAUGUGGGUUGGUCAAGUUAGGUUGCUUACAAAAUUCUAUUAUAUUGCAAAAAGAAAGGGGUGUUGUGUAUAUAUUAAUUAUAUACUAGUUUUAAGGAACGCUUUGCAUGGGCAAACACAUAUAAAAUAGUAUAAUUCCGUAUAAGAAAUAUGUUACGAAUCCUAAAUUGUUUUAAAGUUGCAUGGAAGGGUUUAUAGUAUAUCAUCAAACUGACUUGUUCGUUGCAUAAAACAUAGGGUUAAUUAGGUGAAUAUACAAGCGGUUAAGUUUUGCUCAGAAAAAAAAAGUUUUUCUCAGAACUAUUUAAUACUCCUCAAAAACAUGUAGCAUAGGAAACUAACAGAAAAAGAUAGCAUUGGGCGUCAAAUUGUAUAUAUAGUUAUAUACACAACUCCUCAAAACAUGUACCAUAGAUAAGAUCAAAUAAAAGGAAAAUAAAAUCUGUAUAAUUAAUUUAGUAGGGCAGAGAGGAGAAACAUAAUUUAGGAAAAAGAAUGAGAUGCCACAAAAUAUUUGACAUCGUAAUUAUAAUAACAAUAAUGUGGGUAUGCAUGACUUCAAUUAUUGAAAGUAGCCUAAAAGCAUGACACCCCUGUCCAUUUUUUUGAGGAUAUCCGCGUCCCACGCGUGUGGGGACAUCCUCUUACUCUGUAUGCAUGGAAACUCCGCUCUCGGAUAAAACUUUGUAACUUCUAAAAAAACAAGAUAUAUAGCAGUAUAUGCGUACAAUGAAUAUCGUAACAAAAAAAAUGCGUUCAAGGAAUAUAGUAUGUUUCCUUUAACGCCAUCAAUCUUUUUUUUUCUGAAACUUAAUCGGUUAAUCAUGUAUUCAUGUUACAAAAUAGUGAAGGGAAACUUGUCGCUAUAAAGUGAUAGAUUUUAAGAAGUCAAAACUAGUUUAUGUAACAAUAAGCGGCAGAUAUUGCUCCUUGAAUUUUGUUAAGUACGUAAUAAAAUGUGGCAAAAUCAUGAAUGAAACUUUUUUUUUGUAGAAUGACAUCGUUAAAUCUUAUUUCGGUCAUGAAAUUUGCGAAAAGGUAAAAUCGUCGAGUAUUCGUUAUUCUACAUAAGAUUGUGAAAUUUAAAUUAAUUGUAUAUACGACUAUUCAAUGAAUUAUCAGUCGUCAGACCCUACAUUUUUUAGUAAUUUAUAACAACGUUCUAUUUUGAAACCAAUUAUCAUGUCCAUCACAUGUUACCAUUCAAAAACUUAAUAAUGAGGCUGUUUAAUGUUGAUUUUUUUUUUUUGAAAGCAACUUGCAAUAAGUUUAAGAGAAAUUAUAAAUACUGAAAAUUGUAUUCAUGAUGUUGGGUAAGAACACAUUAAUCAAGUUCUUCUAGGACCACUGGCCAUUGCCAUGGUGAUUAAAGCAUUGAGCCCAUAACAAUUUGGUCAAAACAUUUUUAAACAAAAAGGAAAAAAUAUUGGUUAAACUAAAAAGAAAUCAAUUUGAUUGAGUGUUUUCGUGACCGUUUGAUGGGUCAUCGUUUUCACGUUUUAAUUUGUCUCACCCUUGUCAUUAUGUGCAACCCUAAUCAUGAGUCUCUGAUGCUGAAUUCUAACGAAAAUCAAUCUGAUUUCGAUGCAGCAUUAAACGGUAAUUACUAUGUCAGCCGUCACUAUGUCCUUUUUUAACUUCCAAUUAUUUUUUCUUGUUUUUUCUUCAACAACUCUCAACUUUUCUUUUAAAUCUCUUAAAAGUUACUAAAACAUAAAGUCAAAAUCGCCAUCAUUAACGUAUGACCAAGAAUCACUCUGGCUGGUCAAUCUAAUUAUGGUUUUCAAUGAUUUUCAACAAACAGUCUAAUUCUUUCAAAGAAAUUCAUUAAUUCCUUAAUGGUUUAAUAUACUUAUAGUUCAAUGGAAUACUUGGGAUAAGGUAAGAAUACUAACAUGAAAUUCUUUCAAAAUAAUCCGAUGCUAUACGUUCGAUGACUGGAUAGUACUGAUGAACUACAUACGAGAGUCCGAUAUAUUCACAAUUGGUCGCAUAUUCAAAUGUGUAGUUGUAUUUAUCCAAAUUAUCUGUUAUAUAUAGGUGUGAAUGCUAUCUUUACAUUUGGAAAGUAUUCGAAUGAGUUUGCACUUUGCAUCUGCGAAUUUCGUGAUUUUUUUUUGUUUUCUAUUAGAGUAAAAGUUCAUACCAUUUUCUCAAGAUUCGACUUUCAUCUUGCAAAUACAAAGAUAAAGGAUUAACAUUCCCCUUAUUUUUAUAUAUAGAGAUAAUAUAAUGACAUAAACACAUAAGGCGCUAGACUCGUGUAAAAUAGGAAUAUAUUUAUAUGCAUUUUACGUGCGUAUGUGAAUCGGCAGUUGUCGGUCAGUCUAACUCCUAAACUCUAUAUCACAUUAUGUAUGUAGAUAUAUUUAUUCAGUAUAUUAGAUGGAGAUGAUUAUAUUCAAUUAAUGUUUGGCUAAAAAGUAAACCAUAAACUUGUUUUUAUGCGAGACGAUAUACUAUAUAACAUUAUUAUUAAUUAAUUAAGUAUACUGAGCCUCUGGAGAUAAAUAAGUGGGGCUUCACUUCAUGACCAUAAGGCCAAAACAGAUCUUCUUGUUUCUUUCUUUCUCUCUCAAAUUCUUAUUUCCUUCAUAAGAGAUGGAACCAGCUUUGUAUCUAGGUGACAAUACUAACAAGUUCUCUUUUCUGGAGAAGCCCUCGAAGAUUCCUAAUAAUCCCUCUGCCUCAUCGACCUCUACUUCCGACAAGAAUAUUGGGUUCAACAUGGGUUUGGAUGUACUUGGUUUUGGUAGUCAGAGAUCGUUGUCAUCCUCUUCUUCCCCGUCGGUAGAAGAUGAGAAGAAGUAUAAGAGUAAACUAACACAAAGAGCAAAUUAUUCUGAUGGAGUUAGGGUUUCAUCUUCCGUUGAUCCGUCACUACAGCUUCAGCUUCACUUACCUUGGAUCCCUGAGAACAGAGCACCUACGGUGGCAGAGCCUAGUAUGCCAGUGUCCCCUCCGGAUAGUGUAACGUCGUCGUUUCGAUUAGAUUUUGGGAUUAAGAGUUAUGGUUAUGAGAAAAGAAAUAAUAAAAGAGAUAUGGAAGAUGAGGUUGAAAAAUCUACUUCAAGAGCCAGCAACGAAGACAACGAUGACGAAAAUGGAGCCAUCAGAAAGAAACUGAGGCUCUCUAAAGAUCAAUCUGCAUUUCUUGAAGACAGCUUCAAAGAACACAACACCCUUAAUCCUAAGCAAAAGAUUGCGUUGGCAAAGCAGUUAAAUCUUCGUCCUCGUCAGGUUGAAGUUUGGUUUCAAAACAGACGAGCGAGGACAAAGUUGAAGCAAACGGAAGUGGAUUGUGAAUACCUAAAGAAAUGUUGUGAGUCACUAACCGACGAAAACCGGAGGCUUCAGAAAGAGGUUAAAGAAUUGAGAGCUUUGAAGACUUCUUCUCCUUUCUACAUGCAACGUCCGGCCACCACUCUCACUAUGUGCCCUUCUUGCGAACGUGUUGCCACCUCAUCAUCACAACCAUCCACGUCAGCAGCACAUAUAGACUUGUCCACGUCAUCAUUUCAUAGUCCUUUGAUUCCGGUUAAGCCUGGACCGGCCAAACAAGCUUCAUGAAAGCACGUAUGAAAUAAAUGGCUGAGUGGUUACAGUUUGAGCAAAUGGACCGUCUCCUAUUUUAAAAGACGACUAGCGAACGAUUAUCCGGUAAUAAGAAGUCACGUGGAGAACAACUGCACCAGGUUGGAUCCAAUCGCACUGAACUCAUAAAAGCACUUGUCGGAACUGUCGGUGGUCGACAAUCUCUCAAAUCCAUGCUUCCAUAUGCAAAGUCUUGCGUUUACAUUUACAUUAUUCCUAAAUCCAAAACUUUAUUUCAAUAACAAAAAAUAACAAUGUUCCACCUCAUAAUACAUGUAAUUAAAAAAGUCAAAAAUUAUUCUCAAUUUAGAUCAUCAAUCAAACAUAUGUUACAGCGAUUACUGGAAUCAAAAGAUCAAUAUGUAACUUCUCUCUUUGGAGCUAAGUAUAGUAACCGUGGUAACAAAAGGAUUUACAAUAAAUAGUAGCAAAGAUAUAAGAGAGUAAAUCAUACUUUUCAUCUUUUUUACUCUAAACAUUCUAUAAUCAACUAAAAACAAUCAAACAGAAGAAAGAAAAGUAUUGAGAGAUCAAACAAAUGUUCGAGAUG